rnacentral:rRNA from 1 species
GAAUGAAGCGGGAAAAGCUCAAGUUUGAAAUCUGGCGGGCGACCGUCCAGAGUUGUAAGCUGGAGAGGUGUCGUCGGAUGCGGUCCGGGCUCAAUUUCCUUGGAACAGGAGGUCAUGGAGGGUGAGAACCCCGUAUGUGGCUUGGGUGCCGUGGUCCUUGUGACGUAUCCUCUAAGAGUCGGGUUGUUUGGGAAUGCAGCUCAAAAUGGGUGGUAAAUUUCAUCUAAAGCUAAAUAUUGGUGAGAGACCGAUAGCAAACAAGUAGAGUGAUCGAAAGAUGAAAAGUACUUUGAAAAGAGAGUGAAACAGUACGUGAAAUUGUUGAAAGGGAAGCGUUUGGCAUCAGCCCAUGGCGGCGGUCGAACAUCUGGGCUUCUGCCCGGUGCACUCGGCAGUCGCCGGGCCAGCGUCGGUUCCACCUGCUGGAGAAAGGCCUUGGGGAAGUGGCACUCCCUUGUGGAGUGUGUUAUAACCCAUGGCGUCAUGCGGCUUGGUGGGGCCGA